GUUGGGCAUGGUGGCGCGUGCCUGUAAUCCCAGCUACUCGGGAGGCUGAGGCAGGAGAAUCACUUGAACCCGGGAGUUGGAGGUUGCGGUGAGCCGAGAUUGUGCCAUUGCACUCCAGCCUGGGUGACAGAGCGAGACUCUGUCUCAA
rnacentral:SRP_RNA from 2 species